rnacentral:lncRNA from 1 species
GGGACUGGGAUGGGGACUGGGAUGGACUGGGAUAGGCUGGGAUGGGGAUUGGGAUAGACUGGGAUAGAAUGGGAUGGGGAGUGGGAAGGACCGGACUGGAUUCCGCUGGACCGGGGCCGACGCUCCGCCUUGUCCCAGGCACCUUCGGCCGCUGCGAGUCGGGAUCCCGCCUGGCGCCGCUGACGGCCGGGGUGGAUCCCUGCAAGGAUCCCGCGGGAUUCCUCAGCCCCCAGCUGGGGGGGUCCUAUGGAGGCGAUUCGGGAUCCUAUGGAGGCGAUUCAGGAUCCUACGGAGGCGAUUCGGGAUCUUAUGGAGGCGGAUCAAGCUCCUAUGGAGGCGAUUCAGCAUCCUAUGGAGGCGAUUCGGGCUCCCAUGGAGGAGGAUCCGGAGUAUCCCAAGGAGGCGGCAGCUCUUCAGGAUCCUACGGGAACAAGCCAGGAUCCCAUGGGAACAGACCGGGAUCCUACGGACUUGGGCCUUCUGGGAGUGGGUCAGGAUCAGGGAGACCCGGCUCCUAUGGGGGACCUAGUGUGGGAUCCUAUGGGAUUGGGUCUGGAUCGGGCAGACCUGGAUCCCAGGGGGGAAUUGGAUCUGGAUCAGGCAGACCUGGAUCCCAAGGGGGCAGUGGAUCCGGAUCGGGAAGACCUGGAUCCCAUGGAGGCAGUGGAUCUGGAUCAGGCAGACCUGGGUCCCAAGGGGGCAGUGGAUCCGGAUCGGGAAGACCUGGAUCCCAGGGAGGCAGUGGAUCGGGAUCGGGAAGACCUGGAUCCCAAGGGGGGAGUGGGUCCGGAUCAGGAAGACCUGGAUCCCAUGGAGGCAGUGGAUCGGGAUCGGGAAGACCUGGAUCCCAAGGGGGGAGUGGGUCCGGAUCAGGAAGACCUGGAUCCCAUGGAGGCAGUGGAUCGGGAUCGGGAAGACCUGGAUCCCAUGGAGGCGGUGGAUCCGGAGGGGGCAGACCCGGAUCAUCUCAAGGAGGACAUGGCUCAGGAUCAGGGAGACCCGGAUCCCAAGGAGGCAGCGGAUCGGGAUCCUAUGGAGGCGGAUCGGGAUCCUAUGGGGGUGGAUCGGGAUCCUAUGGGG